GAACGCAUACUUUAGAGUAUGAGUGGCAGACGGGUGAGUAACGCGUGAGACAUCUACCUUACAGCCCGGUAUAAAUAUCUAUAUAGAGGCGAAAAUCUUUAUAUAUGAGUGUAUCCCGGAUAUUUUGAAUAAAAAAAAAGGCAAAGAACCGUUGUAAGAUGAGCUCGCGUAGGAUUAGGUAGUUGGUAAGGUAAAAGCUUAUCCAAGCCGAUGAUCCUUAGCUGUUCUGAGAGGAUGAUCAGCCACACUGGGACUGAGACACGGCCCAGACGCUUUCGAGCGGCAGCAGUGAGGAAUUUUGGACAAUGGGCGAAAGCCUGAUCCAGCUAUAUCGCAUGAAUGAAGAAGGCUCAAUUGGUUGUAAAAUUCAUAGUUUCAUUGUAGAUUAUGACAUUGAUGAAAUGAAUAGUCCCGGCCAACUCCGUGC
rnacentral:rRNA from 1 species